rnacentral:rRNA from 1 species
AGUGAACGCUGGCGGUAGGCCUAACACAUGCAAGUCGAACGGCAGCACAGUAAGAGCUUGCUCUUACGGGUGGCGAGUGGCGGACGGGUGAGGAAUGCAUCGGAAUCUACUUUUUCGUGGGGGAUAACGUAGGGAAACUUACGCUAAUACCGCAUACGACCUACGGGUGAAAGCAGGGGAUCUUCGGACCUUGCGCGAUUGAAUGAGCCGAUGUCGGAUUAGCUAGUUGGCGGGGUAAAGGCCCACCAAGGCGACGAUCCGUAGCUGGUCUGAGAGGAUGAUCAGCCACACUGGAACUGAGACACGGUCCAGACUCCUACGGGAGGCAGCAGUGGGGAAUAUUGGACAAUGGGCGCAAGCCUGAUCCAGCCAUACCGCGUGGGUGAAGAAGGCCUCCGGGUUGUAAAGCCCUUUUGUUGGGAAAGAAAAGCAGCAGGUUAAUACCCCGCUGUUCUGACGGUACCCAAAGAAUAAGCACCGGCUAACUUCGUG